rnacentral:lncRNA from 1 species
CCCACAGUAGGCGCUCAACCAAUGCUUUUUGGGGGGGGGAAAAAAAGACAGUGAUGGUUGUAAUUGCCAUUCUUUAUUAGGCGACCACUAUGUGCCAAGACCUGUGCUAAAACCCUUUUAUACAUUUUCCGAUUUCAUCUUCCCCUAGGGUUUUUGCUGAGCGGAACCGACAAAGAACGGAUCGGAAUCCGAGCCAGAGUUCAGAGCUCAGGAGGUUGACCGCUACACCACUCUGUCUCCCCGAUGGGAGGCUCAGAAACAGAAAAGCGUUAGAAGGUUCUGUGAGCAGCCCCUUAGAGCCAGGCUCCAUCCCUGCCGGGCCCUGCUCUGCACUUACUAUUUCACCAAGGGGACCAUCUCCUGUUCCAGGAACGUUUCCUCAAAGGCCAGGCCAGCAUGUAAGCCCUUGAUGGUGUUACAUCUUCAUUUCCCAUGCGCCACCCUCAAAUCUCCCACCCACAGUCUGCAGCCAACCCAGCCUAGAUCCACCUGCUCCAAGGUCAGAUCCUCUGAAGCUUCGAUCUGUUUUUUUAAUUAUUCUUAAGAGAGGGAGAGCAUGAGCAGGGGAAGGGCAGAGAGAAGGAGACACAGAAUCUAUAGCGGGCUCCAGGCUCCCAGCUGUUAGGACAGAGCCCGACGCCGGGCUCGAGCUCAUGGACCGAGCGAUCAUGAGCCGAUCCGAAGUCGGAGGCUUAACCCACUGAGCCACUCAGGCGCUCCUAAAGCUUGGAUCAUUUUCGGCCCCAAACAAGCCCACCAUUUCUUCACUCUCCAGGCUCCUCCCCCUUAGAGGCUUAAUCUACGCCGGCCCUGACUCUCGCGAGAGGCCUUCUAGCCACGCGGACGACCA